GGUUCUAUAGUGUAGUGGUUAUCACUCUUGGCUCUGAUCCAAGCGACCCCGGUUCGAGUCCGGGUAGAACCU
rfam:Brettanomyces bruxellensis AWRI1499 AWRI1499_contig2532_scaffold42, whole genome shotgun sequence.